rnacentral:lncRNA from 1 species
GUGACAUCCCAGUCACAUGGACAGAGUCAGUCUUUGUGAUUUUGCAAUGUUUCAUUGUUGCUUUGCCCUGUAGACGAGCUACUGUGCAGAGCUGACGGGGCAGCUGUUCAGGAAGGGGUGUUUUUUUUAUUAGCUUGUAAGUCACUGAUGGACCAAAAUUUGUACUUCAUUUGUAAAUUAGGAAAGUGGAAUGAGUCUUUGAGCUCCCUGCAUUUGAAAAUCUUCCCUACCAUUCCAAUCAUUUAUGCAAUGUAGUAUCUGUAAUUUCAGUUGGUAGUUCGGGGGAACUGGAGUUAUUUGUUGGGUUUUCCUCCAUGUUUGGAUCCACAUAGGUGUGAGUGGAUAAGGGCUAAGGCCAAGGUUUGUCUUUCAAGACACUUUAGGAGCUUUCUGGGAGUUUCUAGAGAACAGCCACAUGUGAAUGUUCAUUUAUGUCUUUCCUCUUCCUCUGUUUAAAAGCAAAUGUUCUCCUGGGAGUUGAAGUGGUCAAGCUAUUGCCAGCCUUUGUCCUCAUCCUCCUGUCUGAAACAAGGGCGGCCCUCCAGCCAGCCAUUGUCUAAAGAGCUUCAUGUAAAGGCACUUUCACUUACUCACCAACUCCUUUGGCUCAACCUCUGGAGAUUACAAAACCAAAUGGGUAAGAGGGUUGGCGUCAGUGUGUGUGUAUGUGUGUGUGUGCUGAGUCUCUCUCACCCGUUCCUCAGUGACAUGCAUGGGAAGGCAGUCUGGGCAUUGGAUGUUCUAGUAAAAUCUUCGUUUCUGAGGUAAAUGUUGAGGAUGCUUCACUGCCUGGUCUGAUGAUGAAUGGAGCAUGCGAUUAGCGCAGGGGAUGCAUACUUGAGGUUUGAUCAGCACGUAUAGGAAGGAGCCUGAUUUUUCAUUGGUAACAGUCAGAACUUUGCAUCAACAUGUUUGUUGUUAAUCAACAAAUAUUUGUUGAGUGCCUGCUCUUCAUCAGAUACUGAAGUAUAACAAAGGAACUUCUAAUCUAUUUGUCAUGUUUUGGACAGAUUGAUGAUAUGUUAUGAUUCAUAAACUUUGGAAGUCUCAAACAUUUUGUGUAGACUCUUUGAAAGGUUUUGUUUCUGUCAUCAAAUGUGAAAAGUAGAGUGUGAGGAGAGAUUGUGGAGGGGAAAGGUCCCUCCUUGUCUCUAUUUUCUGCGCCUGGGAUGAACUUUGGUAAAAUAGGUAGUUUGAAGGAUGAGUCUGUGAUGAGCAAAGUCUGGAAAUGAAUAGGUGGCUUUUAAUUAUCUGGCGGUUACUGCAUUGAUUAGCUGUUCAUUCAAAUAGGAAGCCUAUGCCAGAGCUUUCUCUCACAUUCCUGGGAUCUGAAUUUACAUGUCUGGUGUCUGCUUUCAGAGCACCGUCGAAACUUGCUUGUCAUUUGCCUUAUCUCUUCAUCACCAACAACCCAUAUAGUUGGGGGAAGAACAGAGACUCAACAGUCUUUUUUAAAGAGGCAAAGGACCUCCAAAGUCAUCUGUCUUUACUUCUUUAUCUUAUGUGAGAUGUGAGAAAUCUGAGGUCCAG